GGGGAAUUUUCCGCAAUGGGGGAAACCCUGACGAAGCAAUGCCGCGUGAAGGAUGAAACCCCUCGGGGUGUAAACUUCUUUUCUUAGGGACGAGAUCUGACGGUACCUGAGGAAUAAGCAUCGGCUAACUACGUGCCAGCAGCAGCGGUAAUACGUAGGAUGCAAGCGUUAUCCGGAAUUACUGGGCGUAAAGCGUACGCAGGCGGUUUGGUUAGUCUGCCGUUAAAGCCCGGCGCUCAACGUCGGAAGUGCGGUGGAUACUGCCAGACUAGAGAGGAAGAGAAGAAAGCGGAAUUCCCGGUGUAGCGGUAAAAUGCAUUGAUAUCGGGAAGAACACCAGAAGCGAAGGCGGCUUUCUAGCUUUUUUCUGACGCUAAGGUACGAAAGCCAGGGGAGCGAAAGGGAUUAGAUACCCCUGUAGUC
rnacentral:rRNA from 1 species